rnacentral:tRNA from 1 species
GCCCCCGUAGCCUAGCCCGGAACAGGUUCCAGCCAGCUGAGCUGAGGCACGAGGGUUCGAAUCCCCCCGGGGGCG